GGGGAAGUGCCAGGCCUGAAAUCUCUGCGAGCAGCCUCUGCUGGUGACAGGCACCCCACAGCCCAGUGGGUCACUAUGUGUGAAAUAUUCAGCAGUUGAGCCAAACCUUGGGACAAGCUGUGGCCGACGUUCUGCUCAGGUUGGGGUCAUCUGUCCAUGCCAGCCACCAAGUGAGCCCAUCUCUGGUUCCGAUCCUCUGUGAGGCAGAUCCCGUGAUGGGCUUGGGGGAUGUGAGAGCCACCGAGAGCUGGAAGGGGAGUGCCUGCGAAGGCCACGGUGCAUUGGAGCAAGGCUGAGCUAGGAGGCCGUGCUGGUGUGAGAUUUUUGGAUCAGCUUAUCAAAUUCCACUAACAGCUCUUUAACAUGUGGCUAGAACUGCACUGAAUAUUUGAGGUCAAUGAGAAGAAGUGACAUCUUUGUGACACUGAGUCUUCAAGUCCAAUGAUGUGAAACCAAAAAGGCAAAACACUGGUUUCUCAUGAACACUGGAAUCACAGAUAUCAGUGCUUUCACAAGGUCAUUGAAGAAACUCUUGGAUUUCAUCCCUGGUAGGAGAAGUCUGGACCAGACGACAUGUAAGUUUCUUU